GUGCCAGCAGCCGCGGUAAUACCGGCAGCCCAAGUGAUGGCCGAUCUUAUUGGGCCUAAAGCGUCCGUAGCUGGCUGCGCAAGUCCGUCGGGAAAUCCACUCGCCCAACGAGUGGGCGUCCGACGGAAACUGCACAGCUUGGGACCGGAAGGCUCAGGGAGUACGUCUGGGGUAGGAGUGAAAUCCCGUAAUCCCGGACGGACUACCGAUGGCGAAAGCACUCUGAGAAGACGGCUUCGACAGUGAGGGACGAAAGCUCGGGUCUCAAACCGGAUUAGAUACCCGAGUAGUCC
rnacentral:rRNA from 1 species